GAAGAUUAUUGCUGUAUUUUUAUUAUAAUUUUGUAGCUUUCAAAUUAUGAGUUAGUAAGGCUCUAAAAACGGCAAAUUACGGUAUCUCCGUAGGGAGAGCCCUUAAGAUUUAA